rnacentral:ncRNA from 1 species
UCAAAUGCGUUGAAAAGGACACGGUAUGUAUAUUGCUGAUAGAGAGAGUAUUCCGUUUGCUGGAAGGGAUAUGAGGCGUGUAUGUAUUACUACCUUGGAGCAGUACUCGAAAGAGUUACCGUAGUUCUACGUUACAGAUAUAAAGUGUCAACGUUUAUCGUUGGAAUUAAGGUGGUACCGCGCUAAUAGCGUCCUUUCA